rnacentral:rRNA from 1 species
AGGAUGAACGCUGGCGGCGUGCUUAACACAUGCAAGUCGAACGGUGAAGUGAGGAGCUUGCUCUUUGCGGAUCAGUGGCGAACGGGUGAGUAACACGUGAGUAACCUGCCCUUGACUCUGGGAUAAGCGUUGGAAACGACGUCUAAUACCGGAUACGACCUCCGAAGGCAUCUUCUGGAGGUGGAAAGAAUUUCGGUCAAGGAUGGACUCGCGGCCUAUCAGCUAGUUGGUGAGGUAAUGGCCCACCAAGGCGACGACGGGUAGCCGGCCUGAGAGGGUGACCGGCCACACUGGGACUGAGACACGGCCCAGACUCCUACGGGAGGCAGCAGUGGGGAAUAUUGCACAAUGGGCGCAAGCCUGAUGCAGCAACGCCGCGUGAGGGACGACGGCCUUCGGGUUGUAAACCGUCUUUUAGUAGGGAAGAAGCCGCAAGGUGACGGUACCUGCAGAAAAGCACCGGCUAACUACGUGCCAGCAGCCGCGGU